rnacentral:rRNA from 1 species
GGAGCAUGUGGUUUAAUUCGAUGCAACGCGAAGAACCUUACCUACUCUUGACAUCCAGAGAAUUCGCUAGAGAUAGCUUAGUGCCUUCGGGAACUCUGAGACAGGUGCUGCAUGGCUGUCGUCAGCUCGUGUUGUGAAAUGUUGGGUUAAGUCCCGCAACGAGCGCAACCCUUAUCCUUGUUUGCCAGCACAUAAUGGUGGGAACUCCAGGGAGACUGCCGGUGAUAAACCGGAGGAAGGUGGGGACGACGUCAAGUCAUCAUGGCCCUUACGAGUAGGGCUACACACGUGCUACAAUGGCGUAUACAGAGGGCUGCAAACUAGCGAUAGUAAGCGAAUCCCACAAAGUACGUCGUAGUCCGGAUUGGAGUCUGCAACUCGACUCCANGAAGUNNGAANCGC